AAAACACCUCCGUUGGAAGCCUUAAGGACAAGUUGGAACAUGUCCAGUUGUUAAAUAAUUUCUCAGAUACUCACUCUACCUGAAAGCAUCAAAAACUGCCUGAUUUUACAAUGGUUAUCAACACGGAGGUGUUUUUCCUGUGGCGGCACAAAGGAUUUGCGCCGUCGUCA